rnacentral:rRNA from 1 species
AACGAACGCUGGCGGCAUGCCUAACACAUGCAAGUCGAACGAGACCUUCGGGUCUAGUGGCGCACGGGUGCGUAACGCGUGGGAACCUGCCCUUAGGUUCGGAAUAACUCCCCGAAAGGGGUGCUAAUACCGGAUAAUGUCUUCGGACCAAAGAUUUAUCGCCUUUGGAUGGGCCCGCGUUGGAUUAGCUAGUUGGUAGGGUAAAAGCCUACCAAGGCGACGAUCCAUAGCUGGUCUGAGAGGAUGAGCAGCCACACUGGGACUGAGACACGGCCCAGACUCCUACGGGAGGCAGCAGUGGGGAAUAUUGGAAAAUGGGCGAAAGCCUGAUCCAGCAAUGCCGCGUGAGUGAUGAAGGCCUUAGGGUUGUAAAGCUCUUUUACCCGGGAUGAUAAUGACAGUACCGGGAGAAUAAGCUCCGGCUAACUCCGUG